GACGUAGGGGGCGAGCGUUGUCCGGAUUUAUUGGGCGUAAAGCGCGCGUAGGCGGCCCGUUAAGUCGGAUGUGAAAGCCCACGGCUCAACCGUGGAAGCGCAUCCGAAACGGCCUCGCUCGAGUCUCGGAGAGGAAGGUGGAAUGCUUGGUGUAGAGGUGAAAUUCGUAGAUAUCAAGCAGAACACCUGCGGCGAAGGCGGCCUUCUGGACGAUGACUGACGCUGAGACGCGAAAGCGUGGGUAGCAAACAGG
rnacentral:rRNA from 1 species